UCGUAGAGGUGUUCCGCGAUAGAUGGCGCGUGAAAUUAUCUGCGCGACUUUCGCGAAAAGUUUCCGUCGUCCGUCACACGGCUCGCACAUUUCGCAUUAUUCUUUCAUCGCGUCGCGAUUAACGCGUGCCAUUGUGAUAUAUCGGGAAUGCCAGCGAUCGCGUUAACGCGUCGCGGCAAUCGUAAUCAUCCAACGCGUCGCGAUUAACGCGUCCUUUCCGCGACCUAACCGACACGCGUUGCAUCGCGUCACGUAGAUACAUACAUUUCGUCGUGGCUCGUCAAAGAGCGAUAUCGAAACGCGAGCUGAACUUGAGCGCCGAUUUGUUGCUGUAUCAUAUCGUAGGUAAUUACGUCAUAAAUACUAAAGUGUUCUCAUUAAUAUUUCAGGAUGCCGCCAAGGAAUUGUCUCGAGCCGCGCCGCGCAAAUCAGUUGCUAAGUUCAUAUUGUUGCCGUCGCCGUCGACACGUAGCCGCCUCGCGACCGUGCGUUCCAGCUUUUUCGCAUCAUUUCCGAUUUCCGGGUGUGACGACCGUCGCGUUGCGAUAAUCAGCGCGAGUGUUUUGUCAAGUGCCAUGGAUGUGCAACAGGGGAGGGACGAGAGGAAAGGAGGUGGUGGCCCAGCGUGGCACCGAUAAACGGCGAAGCAACUCUUGGAUUAAUGUAGCUGUGUUACAACUUUGAUGCUGCGUAUCGGUCUGUAUCACCGCAGCUUAGUAGCUGAGUAGCUGAGUAACUCCGCUCGUUGUGCAUCGGAUCGUAUUACGGCAGCUUCGUGGCUGAAUAACUCCGCUCGUUGCGCAUCGGGUCGGUGAGUCAAAAACAAUUUUUAUUUUCUUAUUUUAAUGUUGUGUAAAUAUCCUGCGAGGGGUAAAAUAAGGACACUGAAAGAAAGUGUUUAGUAAUUACUGUCAAAUAUUGGGUGAAAUAAAUUUUAAUAUUAUAUAUUCGAUUAACAUAAUAAAUAAUAAUUUUACUUUUCUAAAUAUUUUGUAAACAUUACUAUUGGAUAAUACUUGCUAAAUAUUUAGAAGAGUAAAAUUAUUUUUGGUUAAUAUUAAUCAAAUGUUUAAUCAGCAUUAAUUCACUCAACGUUUGUGUAGCAUAUUACAAACUCUUUUCUUCAGUAGACCUGAAUAAUUUUUCAAAGGGGAAACCGAGUACCCAAUCGCACGCGAUUGUAACUAUGUAUUUUUGCGAGUGAGUGCAACAAAUCCCGAGAGGAAGAGGAGAAGGCCUGCAAGACAAUCUUGGGAUAACUGGAUAUUCCUCGGUGUGCUAAUCGACGAGAGGAAGCCAACGUCCAUCGUCGCCGAAUUAUUAUGAAAUAUACAAACCACAGCCGGUUCGUCGCGUCGCGCGUUUGUCUCGGGAGUGCCGUACAAAUACUGGACUUAUACAGACAUUUUUCAUAACUCCCAUUUGAUAGACUCCUAGUUAGAGGGCCGGGAAUCGCACUCCCGUUGCUUGGCAGUGGACAUCUCCUCACUGAGGCGUUGCCGCGACGUCUCAUGCCGAGUGCCCUAAGGCUUUUUUAGAUCCUUUUAGAUACCCUUUUUGGAUUUUCUGGAUCUGGGGUUUGAGCCAGUGAAUCACGUUUAAUCUGACUAUAGGUCAGAACUAGUCUUGGCAGUCCAACGUGUUGAGAGGCUGGCUCUCAUUUCCUGAUUCGUCUAUAGAAUGUAGACGUCGGCAAUGAGUACCUUCUUCGUUAUGUCUAAAUGUCGUCGACAUCGCUCGUCGUAUAAACGUCUCCGUAGAUUAGCUAUAUCACGAGUGGUGUCACCUGGCCGCCGCUGGUUUGGCGUAUGACUGAGUCAAUUUUAAAUGUAACUUUUGCGAGACAAGAGGCGUCCGAUUUAAUGUCAUUGAUUUUGUUUUUCUCUGCGUGGGGCUUAUCCUUGUCCAGGGCGGGUACGCGUGCGUUCUACUUGCCGACUUGGGAUGCUGAAUCCACAGAAAUCCCUUUGAAUGGGAACUCAUAUCAUGGGUUUUAUGAACUCGAAGUGCCGCAGUAUCUCGCGAAAAACUUUAUAAAUGGUUAGUCCACGCGCGCAAAUUUGGUGUAUUAUUCGCGAGUGUUCCGCGUGUGCAACAAGUGAAAAAAGACAACCUUGAGGACACUGAGAGGAGGAGGAGGUCUGGGAGAGGCAUCGGGCCCCAGCGGAGCAACCUUGGGUAAUUACCGUAGCUUCGUGGCUGAUUAACUCCGCUCGUUGCGCAUCGAGUCGGUGAGUGAGAAAUCAAUUUUCAUAUUAUAUUUUAAUACUUUGCAAAUAUCCUGCGCAGGAUUAAAGGAAAAUAACACUAUUAACCUCUCGAUACACAUAGUCAAAACACGCUAUUUUCGCGAUGACAGCGCUCACGAAAUUAGCGCAGUGAGAGAACCAAUCGGCAUCGCGGAAAAGUGACAACAAUAACUUCAAUUCUGUGCUCGUGCCUUUUUAAAGAAAAGAAUUGGUUUGAAUUUAGUUAAUAUACAUGUAUCUACUCUUUUUGCACAUACAAAUUAAAUAAGUGGAUUAAAUGAGAGGAUUUUCGAUCGUAUAGUAUUAGUAGUAUAAGUAUAAAUAGAGGAAAGUCAUCAAUAUUGGCAUAGAUCACCUAAAUCGACAUCCACUUAUUACUCGAAAACUAAAAGCAUUGCAUUGCAUUAACACUGAUAAAAACACGAUAUGUUUACAAUUGGAUAACUAAAGAAAUUCAUGGCUUUUUAUUUCUAUAUAAAAUUGAUUGAAAAUAAAAUCUUGAAAAAACAAAAAUAAAGUUUGCACGAUUUUCUCUUGCAAACUACAUAGUUGUAAAACAAUAAUGAGUUAGAUACGAACGAUUACAUUGGCUCGCUUAAUUUUUUAUCACGGCGUAUUUUGCCGAAAUAAAGAAUCACUGUACGUAAUGAUUUUAUAUUUCGAUAAAAAUGUGCGCCCAUUAGAGUUACAUGUUAUAAAAUUUUGUACAUCGAUGUCGUUGAUGUAAUCCUGUUAUGAAUGGCUUAGUCGUUUUAAUUGAUAAACCCGAUAACCGUUAAGAGCCAAUAACUGGAUCGCGAUAUAUUA